CCUUCAGUACCUCAGCUGGGAGAGCGGAGGACUGUAGGCUUCCAGGAUGUAGAAAUCCAUAGGUUGCUGGUUUGAUUCCGGCUUGAAGGA
rnacentral:tRNA from 1 species